CGGGUCGGAGCCAUGGUGGUGGCAAAUUCAAGCCCCGUAAACCCCGUAGUGUUCUUCGAUGUCAGCAUCGGCGGCCAGGAAAUUGGCAGCAUGAAGAUCGAGCUGUUUGCAGAUGUCGUGCCCAAGACAGCGGAGAAUUUCAGGCAGUUCUGCACUGGAGAAUUCAGAAAAGAUGGGGUUCCAAUAGGAUAUAAAGGAAGCACGUUCCACAGGGUCAUAAAGGAUUUCAUGAUUCAGGGUGGAGAUUUUGUUAAUGGAGAUGGUACUGGAGUCGCCAGUAUUUACCGGGGCCCAUUUGCAGAUGAAAAUUUCAAACUCAGACACUCAGCUCCAGGCCUGCUUUCCAUGGCAAACAGUGGUCCUAGUACAAAUGGCUGUCAGUUCUUUAUCACCUGUUUGAAGUGCAACUGGCUGGAUGGGAAGCGCGUAGUGUUCAGAAAAAUCAUUGAUGGACUUCUAGUGAUGAGUAAGAUUGAGAAUGUUCCUACAGGCCCUAACAAUAAGCCUAAACUGCCUGUGGUAAUCUCACAAUGUGGGGAGAUGUAGUCCAGGCCAAGACUGAAUCAUGAAUGAGGGCUUCCUUUGCUGUCCUGACUUUUCUGAGUCAGAAAGCUGGACUGGCCUCUGCGUUUGCAUUCUGGCCUGCUGCAGAAGUACCAGACCCAG